AGUGGGAUGGCUGGGUCAUAUGGUAGGUGGAUUGUUUAACUUUCUAAGAAACUUCCAAGCUGUUACCCAAAGAGCUGCACAAUUUUGCUUGUCCACCAGUGAU
rnacentral:pre_miRNA from 1 species